rnacentral:rRNA from 1 species
ACUCCUACGGGAGGCAGCAGUGGGAAUAUUGGACAAUGGGGGAACCCGUAGAUCCAGCCAUGCCGCGUGUGUGAAGAAGGCCUUCGGGUUGUAAAGCACUUUCAGUGGGGAGGAAAGGUUGAUGGUUAAUACCUAUCAGCUGUGACGUUACCCACAGAAGAAGCACCGGCUAACUCCGUGCCAGCAGCCGCGGUAAUACGGAGGGUGCGAGCGUUAUCCGGAUUUAUUGGGUUUAAAGGGUCCGUAGGCGGGUUAAUAAGUCAGUGGUGAAAUCCCAUCGCUUAACGAUGGAACUGCCAUUGAUACUGUUAGUCUUGAAUGAGGGUGCAGUGGUUGGAAUGUGUAGUGUAGCGGUGAAAUGCAUAGAUAUUACACAGAACACCGAUUGCGAAGGCAGAUCACUAACCCUAAAUUGACGCUGAGGGACGAAAGCGUGGGGGAGCGAACAGGAUUAGAUACCCUGUAGGCACUG